rnacentral:rRNA from 1 species
UACGUAGGCAGCGAGCGUUGUUUGGAGUUACUGGGCGUAAAGGGUGUGUAGGCGGUUGUUUAAGUUUGGUGUGAAAUCUCCCGGCUCAACUGGGAGGGUGCGCCGAAUACUGAAUGACUUCGAGUGCGGGAGAGGAGAGUGGAAUUCCUGGUGUAGCGGUGAAAUGCGUAGAUAUCAGGAGGAACACCGGUGGUGUAGACGGCUCUCUGGACCGUAACUGACGCUGAGACACGAAAGCGUGGGUAGCAAACAGG